rnacentral:rRNA from 1 species
GACGAACGCUGGCGGCGUGCUUAACACAUGCAAGUCGAACGCGGACGCUUGGUUCUUGCACUGGGUGGAUGAGUGGCGAACGGGUGAGUAAUACGUGAGUAACCUGCCCUUGACUCUGUGAUAAUCCUGGGAAACUGGCUCUAAUACUGGAUACGACAUGUCACCGCAUGGUGGUGUGUUGAAAGGGUUUUAAUGGUUUUGGAUGGGCUCACGGCCUAUCAGCUUGUUGGUGGGUUAAUGGCUCACCCAGGCGACGACGGGUAGCCGGCCUGAGAGGGUGACAGGCCACACUGGGACUGAGACACGGCCCAGACUCCUACGGGAGGCAGCAGUGGGGAAGAUUGCACAAGGGGCGGAAGCCUGAUGCAGCGACGCCGCGUGAGGGAUGACGGCCUUCGGGUAGUAAACCUCUUUCAGCACGGAAGAAGAGAAAGUGACGGUACGUGCAGAAGAAGCGCCGGCUAACUACGUG